UUUCUCCUCAGAUAGGCGCUCGUAGGAUUCUUUUUUAUGGUAGAGACACAGCUUCUUCUUUAGACAACAAAACCCUCGUUGAAGGAACAUGAUUGGUGGAGAGAGAGAGAGAGAGAGAAAGAGUAGAGAACACUAGAAGCAAUUUGCCAAUAACUUG